rnacentral:rRNA from 1 species
AUACGUAGGGGGCGAGCGUUGUCCGGAAUUACUGGGCGUAAAGGGCGCGUAGGCGGCCCGGUAAGUCUGGAGUGAAAGUCCUGUUUUUAAGAUGGGAAUUGCUUUGGAUACUGUCGGGCUUGAGUGCAGGAGAGGUAAGUGGAAUUCCCAGUGUAGCGGUGAAAUGCGUAGAGAUUGGGAGGAACACCAGUGGCGAAGGCGACUUACUGGACUGUAACUGACGCUGAGGCGCGAAAGUGUGGGGAGCAAACAGGAUUAGAUACCCUGGUAGUCCACACUGUAAACGAUGAAUGCUAGGUGUAGGGGGUAUCGACCCCUUAUGUGCCGCAGUCAACACAAUAAGCAUUCCGCCUGGGGAGUACGGCCGCAAGGUUGAAGCUUAAAGGAAUUGACGGGG